CAACUUUCAACAACGGAUCUCUUGGCUCUCGCAUCGAUGAAGAACGCAGCGAAAUGCGAUAAGUAAUGUGAAUUGCAGAAUUCAGUGAAUCAUCGAAUCUUUGAACGCACCUUGCGCCCCUUGGUAUUCCGAGGAGCAUGCCUGUUUGAGUGUCAUUA
rnacentral:rRNA from 1 species